UGGGGAAUAUUGCACAAUGGGCGAAAGCCUGAUGCAGCAACGCCGCGUGAGUGAUGAAGGCCUUCGGGUUGUAAAGCUCUGUCUUUUGGGACGAUAAUGACGGUACCAAAGGAGGAAGCCACGGCUAACUACGUGCCAGCAGCCGCGGUAAUACGUAGGUGGCAAGCGUUGUCCGGAUUUACUGGGCGUAAAGGAUGCGUAGGCGGAUUUUUCAAGUGAGAUGUGAAAUACCCGGGCUUAACUUGGGUGCUGCAUUUCAAACUGGGAAUCUAGAGUGCGGGAGAGGAGAAUGGAAUUCCUAGUGUAGCGGUGAAAUGCGUAGAGAUUAGGAAGAACACCAGUGGCGAAGGCGAUUCUCUGGACCGUAACUGACGCUGAGGCAUGAAAGCGUGGGUAGCAAACAGGAUUAGAUACCCUGGUAGUCCACGCCGUAAACGAUGAGUACUAGGUGUAGGAGGUAUCGACCCCGUUCUGUGCCGCAGUUAACACAAUAAGUACUCCGCCUGGGAAGUACGAUCGCAAGAUU
rnacentral:rRNA from 1 species